rnacentral:rRNA from 1 species
AUUGAACGCUGGCGGCAUGCUUUACACAUGCAAGUCGAACGGUAACAGGCCUUCGGGUGCUGACGAGUGGCGCACGGGUGAGUAAUACAUCGGAACGUACCCAGAGGUGAGGGAUAACGCAGCGAAAGCUGUGCUAAUACCGCAUGUGAUCUGAGGAUGAAAGCGGGGGACCGAGCAGCAAUGUUUGGCCUCGCGCCUUUGGAGCGGCCGAUGUCGGAUUAGCUAGUUGGUGGGGUAAAGGCCUACCAAGGCGACGAUCCGUAGCUGGUCUGAGAGGACGACCAGCCACACUGGGACUGAGACACGGCCCAGACUCCUACGGGAGGCAGCAGUGGGGAAUUUUGGACAAAGGGCGCAAACCUGAUCCAGCAAUGCCGCGUGCGGGAAGAAGGCCUUCGGGUUGUAAACCGCUUUUGGCAGGAACGAAACGGUGUCCGCUAAUACCGGGCGCUAAUGACGGUACCUGCAGAAUAAGCACCGGCUAACUACGUG